AGACAAUAGAUACCCAGGUAGUCCUGGCCCUCAACGUUGCUCGCUCGUUUUACGGAGUAUCGACCCUCUGUGAGACUAAAGCUAACGCGGUAAGCGAGCCGCCUGGGUAGUACGAUCGCAAGAUUAAAACUACAAAGGAAUAGACGGGGACGUCGCACAAGCAGUGGAUUAUGCGGCUUAAUUCGUCGGUAAACGAAGAACCUUACCAAGGUUAGAAACCCAACUGCAUCCGACCUGAAAGGGACGGAGCCUUCGAGGGUGUUGGGCAGGUGAUGCAUGGUCGUCGUCAGUUCGUGGUUUGAACUGUUCCCUUCAGUGGGGUAACGAACGCAACCCCCGUUCG
rnacentral:rRNA from 1 species